UACGGAGGGUGCAAGCGUUAUCCGGAUUUACUGGGUUUAAAGGGUGCGUAGGUGGGUUGGUAAGUCAGUGGUGAAAUACUUUCGCUUAACGAAGGAACUGCCAUUGAUACUACCAGUCUUGAAUACAGUGGAGGCAGGCGGAAUGCGUCAUGUAGCGGUGAAAUGCUUAGAUAUGACGCAGAACACCAAUUGCGAAGGCAGCUUGCUACACUGUUAUUGACACUGAGGCACGAAAGCGUGGGGAUCAAACAGG
rnacentral:rRNA from 1 species